rnacentral:rRNA from 1 species
UACGUAGGGUGCGAGCGUUAAUCGGAAUUACUGGGCGUAAAGCGUGCGCAGGCGGUUUUGUAAGCCAGAUGUGAAAUCCCCGGGCUUUAACCUGGGAAUGGCAUUUGGGACUGCAAGGCUUGAGUGCGGCAGAGGAGACUGGAAUUCCUGGUGUAGCAGUGAAAUGCGUAGAUAUCAGGAGGAACACCGAUGGCGAAGGCAGGUCUCUGGGCUGACACUGACGCUCAUGCACGAAAGCGUGGGGAGCGAAACA